rnacentral:lncRNA from 9 species
GUUGACCCCUGAACAUCAGUGUCCGCCUGGCAAAAUCAAACCGGGUCUGCCUCUUUCUACCCACGACUAGAGCAUCUAUGUGGUCAGCAUUUGUGUGCGGCUUUAUGAGGAUGUCCCACGGCACCUGUGAACAUUUGGCAGGUCAAUACAGAAGAAAGAAAACAUUUUUCUGCAAAGGUCUAUAUUGCUGUCAGAUGGCAGCACAUUAAAUUGUUUGAAAAAUCCACAUCCUGGCAUGUUCAUAUGAGGAAUCCUGGUUGAGAAAGGCCAUUGGAAAAAUGACAAACGCGUUGGACCAUUUGAUCUCUCUUGAUCACCAUUUGCAACUGGUGAGACGUCUCAGCUGAAUCCCCAUGGGUGAUGCCAUUUAAUCAUGGUUUCCCUGUGCCUUAUCAUAUGGGUAAUCAAAAAUGUCUAGGUUUAGGUGGUAUGGAAGAGCACUAUCUCAUCCAGCCUAUUAAUAUUAUUGUAGAUUAUUUUACAUGAUUAGCUAUCUCUCUUACUGUCACAGAAAUGGAGUAAAAUAUUAUCUGGGCAAUAUUAAUGAAUUAAAAUGUAACCAAGGAAAAAAGAACUGGAGGAAAUCCUACAUAAUUGUUCCAUAAACUGAGACUGCC